rnacentral:rRNA from 1 species
GACGAACGCUGGCGGCGUGCUUAACACAUGCCAGUCGAACGGAAAGGCCCUGCUUUUGUGGGGUGCUCGAGUGGCGAACGGGUGAGUAACACGUGAGUAACCUGCCCUUGACUUUGGGAUAACUUCAGGAAACUGGGGCUAAUACCGGAUAGGAGCUCCUGCUGCAUGGUGGGGGUUGGAAAGUUUCGGCGGUUGGGGAUGGACUCGCGGCUUAUCAGCUUGUUGGUGGGGUAGUGGCUUACCAAGGCUUUGACGGGUAGCCGGCCUGGGAGGGUGACCGGCCACAUUGGGACUGAGAUACGGCCCAGACUCCUACGGGAGGCAGCAGUGGGGAAUAUUGCACAAUGGGCGGGAGCCUGAUGCAGCAACGCCGCGUGCGGGAUGACGGCCUUCGGGUUGUAAACCGCUUUCGCCUGUGACGAAGCGUGAGUGACGGUAAUGGGUAAAGAAGCACCGGCUAACUACGUG